rnacentral:rRNA from 1 species
GACGGAGGGUGCUAGCGUUGUUCGGAAUGACUGGGCGUAAAGGGCGCGUAGGCGGCUCGUGAAGUCGGGUGUGAAAGCCCGGGGCUCAACCCCGGAACGGCACCCGAUACUGGCGGGCUUGAGACCGGGAGAGGAGGGUGGAAUACCCAGUGUAGAGGUGAAAUUCGUAGAUAUUGGGUGGAACACCGGUGGCGAAAGCGGCUCUCUGGCCCGGAUCUGACGCUGAGGCGCGAAAGCGUGGGGAGCAAACAGG